CGGGCGUUGAGACGCUGUUGCUGGCUCUACGCCCACAUACAAACUACACGCUACAGGCACUCGCAUACACCGCUGCCGGCGAUGGUGUGCCUGCGCAUCCUAUACGCUGCACUACACAGCAGGAUGCACCUGGACCACCAGCAGCUGUAAAAGUAAUUGCAACAUCUGUAACGUCAUUAGCCGUGAGCUGGUUACCUCCUAGUCGACCCAAUGGCCCUAUUUUGUACUAUACUAUCUUCUAUCGAGAAUUUGGCAGGGAUCGGCCUCCACAAACUACUACUGUCCAAGCGGAAGAUAUUGAAAUGUCAGUUGGUCUUGGAGGUUUUACGGAACUAAGGUCUUUGUCAGAAAGUGCUACGUAUGAAGCGUGGGUUGCAGCACAUUCUGCUGCUGGGGAAGGAGAACCGUCA
rnacentral:misc_RNA from 1 species